rnacentral:rRNA from 1 species
GUGUCAGCCGCCGCGGUAAUACGUAGGGGGCAAGCGUUAUCCGGAUUUACUGGGCGUAAAGCGCGUUAAGGCGGCCGGCUAAGUUGGUGGUGAAAUUCCAGGGCUCAACCCUGGAACUGCCUCCAAUACUGGUCGGCUCGAGUGCGGGAGAGGAAGGUGGAAUUCCCGGUGUAGUAGUGAAAUGCGUAGAUAUCGGGAGGAACACCAGUGGCGAAGGCGGCCUUCUGGCCCGCAACUGACGCUGUAGCGCGAAAGCGUGGGGAGCGAACGGGAUUAGAAACCCCGGUAGUCC